CUGUCUCAAAAAAAAAAAAGAAAAGCUAUAGAGAAACCAUCAAAGCAUAUUGCUAAGUGACAGAAGCCAAUCUGAAAAGGCUACGUCCUGU